GCGUGUUACAGCUCUUUUAGAAUUUGUCUAGUAGGUUUUCCAGUUCUUUCCAGAAGACCCUA
ensembl:snRNA U7 U7 small nuclear RNA